GGCUUUGUAGUUCAAUGGGUAGAAUACCAACCACAUGUUGCUCUUGUAACACUAUCGUUAGUUGGGUCUGUCGGGUUUGUUGAGCGUUUGCUUUGCUUGCUUGCUGGGUCUGUCUUACGUUGUGCUAAGUUGGAGAUGGAGGUUCGAUGCCUUCUGAAGCCA